rnacentral:sRNA from 12 species
CUGAGAAGGCCCCUGCGUGAUGCGAAGCAGCACGAUAUAAUAGGGGCCGACGACGUGCCCUCGACGCCGAAGGCGUAGGGGGCGAUACCAUAA